rnacentral:rRNA from 1 species
AGGUAGGGAUACCCGCUGAACUUAAGCAUAUCAAUAAGCGGAGGAAAAGAAACCAACAGGGAUUGCCUCAGUAACGGCGAGUGAAGCGGCAAAAGCUCAGAUUUGAAAUCUGGUGUUAUAUUGACAUCCGAGUUGUAAUCUGUAGAGGAGUUUUCGGAGUAAUGACUUUGGUUAAAGUUCCUUGGAAAAGGGCAUCAUAGAGGGUGAGAAUCCUGUUUAUGACCAUAGUACUUCUCUAUAUGAAUCUCCUUCAAUGAGUCGAGUUGUUUGGGAAUGCAGCUCUAAAUGGGUGGUAAAUUCCAUCUAAAGCUAAAUAUUGGCAAGAGACCGAUAGCGCACAAGUAGAGUGAUCGAAAGAUGAAAAGAACUCUGAACAGAGAGUUAAAGAGUACGUGAAAUUGUUGAAAGGGAAGCACUUGUGACCAGACAAAUUUGCAAUUAAUCAGCCAUCAAUUUUGGUGGUGCACUUGAUUGUAAGUGGGUCAGUAUCAGUUAUAGCAGUGGGACAAAGACCUAAAGAAUGUGGCUCCUCUUUUGAGGAGUGUUAUAGCUUUGAGUUGAAUACUGCUUGCUAUGACUGAGGAUAGCACUC